rnacentral:rRNA from 1 species
GACGAACGCUGGCGGCGUGCUUAACACAUGCAAGUCGAACGGUGAAAGGGAGCUUGCUCCCUGGAUCAGUGGCGAACGGGUGAGUAACACGUGGGCAACCUGCCCCAGACUUCGGGAUAACGCUUCGAAAGAGGUGCUAAUACCGGAUACGAACUCCUUGGGCAUCCUUGGAGUUGGAAAGUUUUUCGGUCUGGGAUGGGCCCGCGGCCUAUCAGCUUGUUGGUGAGGUAACGGCGCACCAAGGCGACGACGGGUAGCCGGCCUGGGAGGGCGACCGGCCACACUGGGACUGAGACACGGCCCAGACUCCUACGGGAGGCAGCAGUGGGGAAUAUUGCGCAAUGGGCGAAAGCCUGACGCAGCAACGCCGCGUGAGGGAUGACGGCCUUCGGGUUGUAAACCUCUUUCAGCAGGGAAGAAGCGAAAGUGACGGUACCUGCAGAAGAAGCACCGGCUAACUACGUGCCAGCCGCCGCCGUAA